CGUUGGGAGCUCUCCCAUAUGGUCGACCUGCAGGCGGCCGCGAAUUCACUAGUGAUUCGUAUUACCGCGGCUGCUGGCACGGAGUUAGCCGGAGCUUAUUCUCCCGGUACUGUCAUUAUCAUCCCGGGUAAAAGAGCUUUACAACCCUAAGGCCUUCAUCACUCACGCGGCAUUGCUGGAUCAGGCUUGCGCCCAUUGUCCAAUAUUCCCCACUGCUGCCUCCCGUAGGAGUCUGGGCCGUGUCUCAGUCCCAGUGUGGCUGAUCAUCCUCUCAGACCAGCUAAGGAUCGUCGCCUUGGUGCGCCUUUACCACACCAACUAGCUAAUCCUACGCGGGCUCAUCCUCAGGCGAUAAAUCUUUGGACUUAACGUCAUCAUCCGGUAUUAGCCAUCGUUUCCAAUGGUUAUUCCGAACCUGAGGGCAGAUUCCCACGCGUUACGCACCCGUGCGCCGCUAGACCCGAAGAUCUCGUUCGACUUGCAUGUGUUAGGCAUGCCGCCAGCGUUCGUUCUGAGCCAUGAUCAAACUCUAAUCGAAUUCCCGCGGCCGCCAUGGCGGCCG
rnacentral:rRNA from 1 species